rnacentral:lncRNA from 1 species
CAGAUUUCAUACACUUUAAGUAUUUCAGUGUGGCGUAUCUUAUAUCUUAGCACCAGAAGACUGUACUCUUUUGUUAAGCUGGAUGAAGUCCCACCUCUUGAAACAAAUGGAUAUUUUGCUAUUCAUUUCAGGAGAACAAAGGCUUCAUAUUGAGUAUCACAUUCUAGAGAUAUCAGAGAAAACCCUGAGGUUUGCUGUGUGUUUUCAUCGCAUCAGUGUGAAGGAACUCAAAACAAAACAAAAAACCCAACCAAUACUUAGAAGACAAUAUCCCAAGAUUCUCUCUUGUUGUACUUGGCUACAAAAGACUUCAUUAAACAUUAAUCUUUGUGAUGGGCUUAUUUUCUGCAAAACAUCUAUGUAUCUUGGAGAAUGCAAUAGUGAAAAUCUAAAUAUUUUGAGAAAUUAUAUCUUUUAUAUCUGAAAAAUAUAUCUAUUCGAUAUUUUUAUAAGGAUCCAGGGGACGGAACACCUCUCCUACAAGGACAGGCUGAGAGAGCUGGGGCUACUGUGCAGCAUGGAGAGGACAAGGCUCCAGGGAGACCUCACAGAAGCCCCUGAGUGCCUGAAGUGGAGCUAUGGGAAAGAAAGGGUCAAACUCUUUAGCAGGGUUUGUUGUGAUAGAAAAGGGGAAAUGGUUUCAGACUUAAAGAUUUAGGUUGGAUGCAAGGAAAAAGUCUUCUACAACGCAGGCGGUGAGGCACUGGAACAGGUUGCCCAGAGAUGUGAUUGAUGCCCCAUCCCUGGAGAUUUUCAAGACCAGGGUGGGCCAGGCCCUGAGCAACCUGAUCUAGCUGUAGAUGUCCCUGUUCAUUGCAGAGGAGUUGGACUCUAAAGAUUCCUUCCAGCUGCAAAUAUUCUAUGAUUCUAUUAUGUUUAUACCAUACUCCCUGCUCCUGUAUAGUAAAAUUGCUCUGCAAGUCAUAGUAUAGACUUUCUUUUUUUUUUUUUUUUAAUUUUUGUUGUAAUUUUUUCAUGAAGCAAUUGUUUUGUUUUCAUUAAAUCAGAGAAUGAGAAUGAUCUACAGAGCAGACACUGUAAUCAGGAAGAGCUGCCCCCAUAGGAUACGAAUGACCUGGUGUUUGGGCAGCAGUGUUUGCUUAAGAGUCCAGACAGCAGAAAUACGGGGAGGAUGCACAGGAAGGAGAGAAGAAAACCCCCACAAAAUAGUAAGAAUAAAAGAAAAUGGAAUAGAAAUUAGGAGAUGUUA